UUGUGACGGCAAAUUACCAGCUCCUGCUGAAUCCCCCAGGACCGGAAGGUAGCAAGGGUAGGCGGUUGUAGCGGUGAAUUUGCCAUUU
rfam:Leadbetterella sp. JN14-9 contig5, whole genome shotgun sequence.